rnacentral:rRNA from 1 species
AUUGAACGCUGGCGGCAGGCCUAACACAUGCAAGUCGAACGGUAGCACAGAGAGCUUGCUCUCGGGUGACGAGUGGCGGACGGGUGAGUAAUGUCUGGGAAACUGCCCGAUGGAGGGGGAUAACUACUGGAAACGGUAGCUAAUACCGCAUAGCGUCGCAAGACCAAAGUGGGGGACCUUCGGGCCUCACACCAUCGGAUGUGCCCAGAUGGGAUUAGCUAGGAGGUGGGUAAUGGCUCACCUAGGCGACGAUCCCUAGCUGGUCUGAGAGGAUGACCAGCCACACUGGAACUGAGACACGGUCCAGACUCCUACGGGAGGCAGCAGUGGGGAAUAUUGCACAAUGGGCGCAAGCCUGAUGCAGCCAUGCCGCGUGUAUGAAGAAGGCCUUCGGGUUGUAAAGUACUUUCAGCGGGGAGGAAGGCGGUGAAGUUAAUAGCUUCACCGAUUGACGUUACCCGCAGAAGAAGCACCGGCUAACUCCGUGCCAGCCGCCGCGGUAA